GUACCGUAAUGGUGAGAAGCGGAAGAAAGCGUGAUGGAGUAAUUCGACAAAUUCCCGGAGCCCAUGAAAAGGGGGAUACCGUCCGUACCGAGAACCGACACAGGUGCCCCUCGCUGAGAAGGCGAAGGCGUGUCGGAUUUAAUCGUGUUAAGGGAACUCGGCAAAUUGGCCCCGUAACUUUGGGAGAAGGGGUGCCUGCCAGGAGAUCAGGCAGGUCGCAGUGACCAGGGAGCUCUAACUGUCUAAUAACAACAUAGGAGACUGCAACUCGGAAACGACUAGUAUAGUCUCUGAUUCCUGCCCAGUGCGAGUAUCUGAACACCCAGUUCAAUGGGACGAAGGACUCGUAAACGGCGGGGGUAACUAUGACCCUCUUAAGGUAGCGUAGUACCUUGUCGCUUAAUUGGCGACUUGCAUGAAUGGAUUAAUGAGAGCUCUACUGUCCCUAACACGAAUCCGUUGAACCUUUUGUCCUAGUGCAGAGACUAGGGACUCCUAUUGGGAAGUGAAGACCCCGUGGAGCUUUACUGCAGCCUGUUGUUGAAUUACGGUUUUACAUGCGCAGCGUAGAUGGGAGGCGUUAUAUCCGUUUCUUUCGGGGAACGGGGAGCCACCAAUGAGACACCAUCCUUGUUUGGCUGUAAUUCUCACUCGUUUAUCGAGGACAUCGAUAGGUAGGCAGUUUGGGUGGGGCGCCACACCCUCGAAAAAAUAUCAAGGGUGCCCUAAGGUCAACUCAUGUGAGUCAGAAACUCACAGUAGAGUGAAAGAGCAAAAGUUGGCCUGACGCGAUUGCGCAUAGCAAGCAAUCGCGAGAGGAAACUCGGGUCUAACGAACCAAUAUGCCCUUUUGGUGAGGGCUAUUGACGACAGAAAAGCUACCCCGGGGAUAACAGAGUCGUCGCCGGCAAGAGCACAUAUCGACCCGGCGGCUUGCUACCUCGAUGUCGGUUCUUUCCAUCCUGGCUGUGCAGCAGCAGCCAAGGGUGAGGUUGUUCGCCUAUUAAAGGGGAUCGUGAGCUGGGUUUAGACCGUCGUGAGACAGGUCGGUUACUAUCUAAUAGGAGUGUCAGGAGUCUGAGGGUAAGAAUGAAAUAGUACGAGAGGAACUUUCAUUCGGCGCCUCUAGUCGAUCGGUUGUCCGACAGGGCAGUGCCGAGCAGCCACGCGCCAAGGGAUAAAAGCUGAAAGCAUCUAAGCUUGAAACCCGGCCUAAAAAGAGACUCCGUUACAGGACAUGAGUAAAAGACUCGUUUGAUAGGCUCGGGAUGUACGCACGAAGGCAACGACGUGUUCAGUCCGCGAGUACUAACGUCCAAACACCCCU
rnacentral:rRNA from 1 species